UCAGUGACGUGUGGAGCAGUGGAAUCACUCACUGCUGUGCUGUCUCUCUAAACGGGAACCGGGAAAUCGUGAGGGGGAUGCCUGGCACCUGACCGCAUGACUGUCUGACACUGUCUCUAAAGUGAAGGAGUCACCUAUGAUGCCCACCAGACCGGUACGGUUACGGUACACUAAGUGCACACUGAAGAGGUCUUCAACUUUUCUAAAACGGCAUUUCCUUUCUCAAAAGAAUAGAGGAAUCAAACAGAAUGCUUCAACGGAGUGUCUUUAAAGCUAACACUAUCAAAACCCUAUCAUCUAUCCACACAUCUUAUGGUCUCUCAUUGAAUCUGCAAGCAAGAUGAAGACUCUGAUAGGAAAUAAUUGCCUUGGAAAGAAAAGAAUGCCAGAAGAUGAUAUACAAGAAUAAAUUGUGUUAUUUCACUUGCAAGUUUACUACUGGACACCAGCCCCACCUCUCUUUUUGUGAAUGUGGCUCCCAGAAAAAAGAACAUGAUUCAAAUUUCUGCAUAAAUUGACAUUAAAGAGACAAAAAAAAAACAACAA